GACGAACGCUGGCGGCGUGCUUAACACAUGCAAGUGGUGCGACGAACCAGGGCUUGCCCUGGGGCAAAGCCGCGAACGGGUGAGUAACACGUGGGUAAUCUGCCCCGAUGACCGGGACAACCCGAGGAAACUCGGGCUAAUACCGGAUGAUGAGCCUUGGCGUAAGCCUUGUCUCUAAAGGAAGCUUCGGCCUCCGCAUUGGGAGGAGCCCGCGGCCCAUUAGCUUGUUGGUGGGGUAAUGGCCACCAAGGCAACGAUGGGUAGCUGGUCUGAGAGGACGAUCAGCCACACUGGGACUGAGACACGGCCCAGACUCCUACGGGAGGCAGCAGUGGGGAAUCUUGCGCAAUGCGCGAAAGCGUGACGCAGCAACGCCGC
rnacentral:rRNA from 1 species